GGCAGUGGCUUAUUAAAGUUCCAGUCUCUCAGGUGGCGUGGGAUCAAAUCCCACCACUGCCA
rnacentral:tRNA from 1 species